GACCAUCUCCUAAGGCUAAAUACUCUCUAGUGACCGAUAGUGAACCAGUACCGUGAGGGAAAGGUGAAAAGCACCCCGGAAGGGGAGUGAAAUAGAACCUGAAACCGUGUGCUUACAAGUAGUCAGAGCCCGUUAAUGGGUGAUGGCGUGCCUUUUGUAGAAUGAACCGGCGAGUUACGAUUUGAUGCAAGGUUAAGCAGUAAAUGUGGAGCCGUAGCGAAAGCGAGUCUGAAUAGGGCGUUUAGUAUUUGGUCGUAGACCCGAAACCAGGUGAUCUACCCUUGGUCAGGUUGAAGUUCAGGUAACACUGAAUGGAGGACCGAACCGACUUACGUUGAAAAGUGAGCGGAUGAACUGAGGGUAGCGGAGAAAUUCCAAUCGAACCUGGAGAUAGCUGGUUCUCUCCGAAAUAGCUUUAGGGCUAGCCUCAAGUGAUGAUUAUUGGAGGUAGAGCACUGUUUGGACGAGGGGCCCCUCUCGGGUUACCGAAUUCAGACAAACUCCGAAUGCCAAUUAAUUUAACUUGGGAGUCAGAACAUGGGUGAUAAGGUCCGUGUUCGAAAGGGAAACAGCCCAGACCACCAGCUAAGGUCCCAAAAUAUAUGUUAAGUGGAAAAGGAUGUGGCGUUGCCCAGACAACUAGGAUGUUGGCUUAGAAGCAGCCAUCAUUUAAAGAGUGCGUAAUAGCUCACUAGUCGAGUGACACUGCGCCGAAAAUGUACCGGGGCUAAACAUAUUACCGAAGCUGUGGAUUGUCCUUUGGACAAUGGUAGGAGAGCGUUCUAAGGGCGUUGAAGCA
rnacentral:rRNA from 1 species